AUUUGGCGGACGGGUGAGUAACGCGUGAGCAACCUGCCUAUGACAGUGGGAUAGCCUCGGGAAACCGGGAUUAAUACCGCAUAAAAUCGUAGAAACACAUGUUUCAACGGUCAAAGAUUUAUCGGUCAUAGAUGGGCUCGCGUCUGAUUAGCUAGUUGGUGAGAUAACAGCCCACCAAGGCGACGAUCAGUAGCCGGUCUGAGAGGAUGAACGGCCACAUUGGAACUGAGACACGGUCCAAACUCCUACGGGAGGCAGCAGUGGGGAAUAUUGCACAAUGGGGGAAACCCUGAUGCAGCGACGCCGCGUGAACGAAGAAGGUAUUCGUAUCGUAAAGUUCUGUCCUAUGGGAAGAUAAUGACAGUACCAUAGAAGAAAGCUCCGGCUAAAUACGUGCCAGCAGCCGCGGUAAUA
rnacentral:rRNA from 1 species